AGACUCUUAAAAGUCAUCCAGUCUGACUGGCCCCCUGGCUCUCACAUCCCAUCCAGAAUUUUCCUGUCAAGUGAUCCAGUUGUCUUAUACCUAAAAACAAAGCAACACCAACCUAAAAGACAGGCACACACAUUACUAACAAGCUCUGGAUCCUGUUAAAAGAGAACAUCAGUCACGAAGCACAGCUUUGAUCCACUGACUUCUUGAAACCUGAAAAGGGAGUGGGACAUCCAGGUGCAUUACUGACUCCUGAGCAUUUCUGCAGGUCCACAGACUCACUCCGUUUAAGUUUGGGAACUUAACUCGAGAGAUAUCCACUUUCUUUGAAGGCGAGGAGGAAGGAAGUUACAAUGCCUAAUUAUAAAGUAUUUUGAAGUUCUUGACUCUUCUCUUCCCACACUGGAGAUUGAGUCUAGGGACCUCACUUGCCAGACAAGUGUUCUACCACUGAGGUACAUCCCUAGUCCUCCAAGUUCAGACUAAAGGGUUUAAAAAUAUUCCCGAACCUACUGGGUAGAUUCAAUUAAGUUCACUUUGUCUAAAUAUCUUAAAGUCUAUGCCCUUUUGAUGUAUUCUCUUACUGUAUGUAUAUAACAGUUAAUACGAUUGCAUCAUCUUUAUUGUAGAACUUUACCAUUUGUGUGUGUGUGUGUGUGUGUGUGUGUGUGUGUGUGUGUGUGUGUGUGUUUACAAAGCUGCACAGGAUCUUAGGUUCUUCUGCAAGGUCAUAUAGUCAGCCUUGAACUAUAUGAAAAGCUCUUUCUUAUUCCAUCAAUACUCAUUUUGAGCAGUCCGGUGCUUUCUUUUUGGCAAGAAUCCUUUUGUUGCCACAUGAAAUACGGAUCCAACUCUGUUUUUGUUUUUGUUUUUGUUUCUGCAAACAGUCAACUAAAACAUACUUAAUAAAGCUCUACUCUGUGAUUCACAACAUCGAGGGUGCUAUGCACGACAAAGUUAGUAGAAAUUGGUGUUUACAGCUUAGCAAAGAAGACUUCCUACUUGGAAUUUUUCUUUGGGCCCAUGGCUAUUCACUGAGAACUGGACCAACUCACAGCUAGUAUUCAUCAAGGCCUAAAACCAGUGCCUCUAUGAUUCACCAUCUAUGAGGCUUCAAAAGUCAAUAAAUUAUUCUCUUCUUAGCACACACCGUGUGCCCAGACUCAAUCUUGAUCCUGUGUAAGAAACAAGAGAAGAUUAAUAAAUAGUAUUAUAGAUGUUGGAGUUAAGUAAAGUCUGAUGAUCCUUGCCCUUGAAAAAUUAAAUUUAUUUAACCAAUGAGGGCAGAGAAAGGGAAGUAAUUAUGAAACCUGAAACAUAAGAAGGAAAAA